UUACUUCAAUAAAUACAAUAAAAGUGGAACAAUGCAGAGAUGAUUAGCAUGGCCCCUGCACAAGGAUGACAUGUGAAUUCCUGAAGCAUCUUUAUUUGUA
rnacentral:snRNA from 1 species